AGCGUGGUAUCGGGAGAGUCUGCCGUCCAGCAUUGCCUGGCGGCGGCGCCGAAGGAGCAACCGCCCCGGAAACUCUCAGGCAAAUGAACCGGUACCACCCA
rnacentral:ncRNA from 2 species